rnacentral:tRNA from 1 species
GACUCUCUAGCUCAGUUGGUAGAGCGCUUGGUUUACACCCAAGAGGUCAUCGGUUCGAGCCCGAUGAGAGUCA